GACAGAGGUGCCGAGCGUUAGGCGGAAUCACUGGGCUUAAAGCGUGUGUAGGCGGACCGUUAAGUGUCUUGUGAAAUCCCACGGCUCAACCGUGGAACGGCUGGGCAUACUGGCGGUCUUGAGAGGCCUAGGGGCGAGCGGAACAGGCGGUGGAGCGGUGAAAUGCGUAGAUAUCGCCUGGAACGCCGACGGUGAAAACAGCUCGCUGGGGGCCUUCUGACGCUGAGACGACGAAAGCCAGGGGAG
rnacentral:rRNA from 1 species